UACGUAGGGGGCUAGCGUUGUCCGGAAUCAUUGGGCGUAAAGAGCGUGUAGGCGGUCCGGUAAGUCCGCUGUGAAAGUCGGGGGCUCAACCCUCGAAUGCCGGUGGAUACUGUCGGGCUAGAGUGCGGAAGAGGUGAGUGGAAUUCCUGGUGUAGCGGUGAAAUGCGCAGAUAUCAGGAGGAACACCUAUUGCGAAGGCAGCUCGCUGGGACGUAACUGACGCUGAGACGCGAAAGCGUGGGGAGCGAACAGG
rnacentral:rRNA from 1 species